UACGAAGGGGGCUAGCGUUGCUCGGAAUCACUGGGCGUAAAGGCGCGUAGGCGGCCAUUCAAGUCAGAGGUGAAAGCCCAAGGCUCAACCUUGGAAUUGCCUUUGAUACUGUUUGGCUUGAGACCGGAAGAGGUUAGUGGAACUGCGAGUGUAGAGGUGAAAUUCGUAGAUAUUCGCAAGAACACCAAUUGCGAAGGCAGCUUACUACGGGAACAUUGACACUGAGGCACGAAAGCGUGGGGAUCAAACAGG
rnacentral:rRNA from 1 species